UCCGUACAAGUCGUCUUAGCGAACGAACGAAAGCCACAUUUUAGCAACCGUUGCGCUUAGCAGGGGCGGACACGACGGAGCAGCAUGUUGCAACCGUUCCUGUAGACGGUAAUGUGCAGUGCUUCGUUGUCGACGCCCUUGGAGGUUGUGAGGAGUACAAACAUAUCAGACACAAUGGAUCAUUGGCUGCCUGCAGCUAUAUGUGCACUCCAAAGAAGGAAACUUCAUGCUACCGUAAUGAGUGGGAGCAAGAGCCAUGUCUUGU